CCUACGGGAGGCAGCAGUGAGGAAUAUUGGUCAAUGGACGAGAGUCUGAACCAGCCAAGUAGCGUGAAGGAUGACUGCCCUAUGGGUUGUAAACUUCUUUUAUAAAGGAAUAAAACGAGGCACGUGUGCCUUUUUGCAUGUACUUUAUGAAUAAGGAUCGGCUAACUCCGUGCCAGCAGCCGCGGUAAUACGGAGGAUCCGAGCGUUAUCCGGAUUUAUUGGGUUUAAAGGGAGCGUAGAUGGGUUGUUAAGUCAGUUGUGAAAGUUUGCGGCUCAACCGUAAAAUUGCAAUUGAUACUGGCAGUCGUGAGUACAGUUGAGGUAGGCGGAAUCCGUGGUGUAGCGGUGAAAUGCUUAGAUAUCACGAAGAACCCCGAUUGCGAAGGCAGCUUACUAAACUGUGACUGACAUUGAUGCUCGAAAGUGUGGGUAUCAAACAGGAUUAGAUACCCCAGUAGUC
rnacentral:rRNA from 1 species